rnacentral:rRNA from 1 species
AGUGAACGCUGGCGGCGUGCCUAACACAUGCAAGUCGAACGAUGAUGGAGAGCUUGCUCUCCUGAUUAGUGGCGCACGGGUGAGUAUACCAUAGAUAAUGUACCUCUUAGUUCGGGAUAGCCACUGGAAACGGUGAUUAAUACCGGAUACUCCUUCUUGUCUUAAGACAAGUCGGGAAAGUUUUUUCGCUAAGAGAUCAGUCUAUGUCCUAUCAGCUAGUUGGUGAGGUAAUGGCUCACCAAGGCUAUGACGGGUAUCUGGUUUGAGAGGAUGAUCAGACACACUGGAACUGAGACACGGUCCAGACUCCUACGGGAGGCAGCGGUGAGGAAUAUUGCACAAUGGAGGACGCGCUGAUGCAGCACCGCCGCGUGGAGGAGGGCGCAUUUCAGUGUGUAAAAACUUUUUAAGAGAUAAGAUAAUGACGGUACCUCUCGAAUAACCUCCGGCUAACUCCGUGCCAGCCGCCGCCGUAA